rnacentral:misc_RNA from 1 species
AGAAUCACUCCAAUCGAAAAAGGGUAAAUUCAAUCCAUAAAAGUAAUCUUAUAUCGUUUAGGGCAGACGUAUGCCCAAGUCAGAUAUGAACUACGAAACAAGCUAUAUCGUUAAAACUUGCUGCAUCUAAUUGGAAACAUACUGCUUCGAUUAUAUGCACGUCCCUUGUUCAAACCAGCAUAAACAAAAUUUCAACUCAGCAAAUCCUCACGCUAUUAUCACACGAGAGCAAUGUAAAUUUAAAUUUUUUUUUUUCCAAAAAAAAAAAAAGGCAAAAUUCAGCUUAUUGCAAUCCUCUAACUAGUCGGCAGCUACAGUUCAUGAUACAAAACAACAAAAAGGAAACGAUGUGCCAAAUGAUAGAAUUCUGACACUAAUGCAAUGGCACCAAGUUAGUUCAAGAACAUGUAAUUUCUGCGCUUAAAGGCGUGCAUCGUUAUUGAUCGAAGUUGAAGACAUUGCAGAAAGUACAUCUGUCACAGAAGCCAUGACACUCAAAGCAGCUUUCAGAACCUCCUGUGAACACCCUGGUUUUACAAUAGUUCGUACCUUGUCAAGGUAGUCCUGCAAUUUCUUUAUCCGGCCCAUGUAAUCCUGGUCUUCAACACAGAGAGUUAAUGGCUUAGCAUCAGCACCAGGACCUUCGAAUUGUAGGGGCCCUGGAUUUCUGUAUAGAUCAUCCAUUAAAAACUUUAUUGCAUUUUCUCUGAGCAGCUCAUAUGCUUUGCCUUUCAAAUCCACUGCAGCUGGAUGAAUAGCAGGUUUCCCAAUUGAAGUGGCACCUGGACUUUGAGCCCA